GCCGCAUGCGCAGUCGCGCCGGGGCCUGGUCGGUUGCUGAGGCGACCGUGAGGCGGGCUCCGAGCGUGUGGAGACGGCGGCGGUGUCGUCGUGAGGGAGGGAGAGGCCGAUCGUUGCGGUCCCGCCACUUCAGGGGGAACGGUGUGUCCCCCCCGCGACCUGAAGGAGGCAGCAUGGGUCUGAAGUCUACGCAGGCUGCCUUCUUCCCCAUCUGCAGCAUCGAUGAGGUGGUCAAGCUGUUUGCCUUUGAGCUGAAACGGGACGAGCCCGACCUGACCCUGCUGUCCCUGGUGCUGGGCUUCGUCGAACACUUCCUCGCCGUGAACCGGGUCCUCCCUGUCAAUGUUCCCGGCUGCAGCAUUGAGGGCUCCCCGUGCCCGGAGACCGGAUCCGAGGUGGCCACCUGCUUCCCCUGCGUGGACCUCCCGCAGGUUAGGGCUCUGCACACCCGAUUCACCACCAUGAUCCGGGGAGCGGUCGACCGGUCCCUGUACCCCCUGAAGGAGGGCUACUCCAGCCGCGAGCUGGUCAAGAAGGUGUCCGACGUCAUCUGGAACAGCCUGAGCCGCUCCUACUUCAAGGAUAGAGCGCACAUCCAGUCUCUCUUCAGUUUCAUUACAGGUACUAAGCUGGACAGCUGCGGGGUGGCCUUUGCAGUGGUGGCUGCCUGUCAGGUCCUGGGCCUUCGCGAUGUCCACUUGGGCCUCUCCGAGGACCAUGCUUGGGUGAUCUUUGGCGAAAACGGUGAGGAGACAGCUGAGGUGACCUGGCACGGCAAAGGCAACGAGGACAGGAGGGGGCAGACGGUGACAGCAGGUGUUGCUGAGAGGAGCUGGCUGUACCUGAAGGGCUCCUACCUGAAGUGUGACCGCAAGAUGGAGGUGGCGCUCAUGGUGUGCGCCAUUAACCCAUCGAUCGACCACCACACGGACAGCGUGGAGCUGCUGCAGCUGCAACAGCACCUCCUGUGGCUGUUGUACGACCUUGGGCACCUGAGCAAGUGAGUGUCACCGUGCCUCUGGAGCACCCUUCCGAUCCCCCCACCGACUACAACGAGGGCCGCACAGUAAAUGCAGACAGAAUAUAGCGAGAGAGACGUGCCCCUGUCCUUCAUAAGCUCUUUGAGAAAUACUCCCUGUGCGCUGAGCUGCUUGGCAACAUAAAGGGGACCUUUCCCUUUCAGAGCAGAGGUUAAACGAGCUAUCCUGCUGGGUGAAUUGAAAGUUUCUCCCUUUAAGAGACACCUCCAGAAGGGAGACAGAAAGCAGGAGUCCACAGGCCCGGUUAACAUCUGUCGGAGGGAAAAGGUUAGAAGAUACCCAAUGGCACUGGGGAACCUCGCAGACCUGGAGGAGUUGGAACCGAUGCCGAACAGACCAGAUCCAUUGACACUUUACCACC